GUCAUCUUCAGGAAUGUUCUUCAGGAGGUGACUUGGGACUUGGACUUCAACUUUGACUUGGGACCGUGGCUCUUGGACUAUUUCUUGGGUUCUGUCUCUCCACAAUUCAUUGUGAGGCAUUGUAUGUGUGAUUGUUUUGAGGCAGCUUUGGACAAGCUUGGAAUUUUCCAACAUACACCAGGAGUAAGUAGGUAUCAAAGUUGAGGUGCUGACAAGCAAAGGAAUAACAUUUUUGGGAAGAAAAUAUUCUUGGGAAAAAUGGGGUAGUGAAAUAAUCAGGAAACCUAAAUAGUUCUAGGUAAGGAAACAGGAAUUUAUAUAAUGCCUACUAUGUGUUACACAAUUUAAUUUAAUCAAUAUCAUCUCACUUG
rnacentral:lncRNA from 1 species